CUUUAUUUUCUUUUUCUUCUUCUUUUUUUUUAUAUGUCUUUUAAGAGUUAAAUACUACUUAAGUUGUGAAAAAAUGCCUUUUGACGCAAAAAUUGAUAUUUUUAGAUGAAGAUCACCAGUUACUCAACAUUUCACAUACUCAAGUUACUGUUCAUACUUCUAAUUCAAGUACCGUUUUACGCGAGAGUCGACAUUUGUAGAUGAAAACUCCCGAUUACUAAGUACAAGAACCAUUGGAGUAGAAUAUUUUUUUUGAUAUAUAUAUAAAGAAAUAAUAAAAUUCCUUCUAAGAAUAAUCAUGAGAAAAGCAUGACACUUAUUGACCAUAUUAAUUUCUUAACUUAUAAAAUCAGAUAAAAAGAAGAAUUUUCAUCAAAUAUGCAAAAUGUAAGCAUAAUUUUCUUCACUUACUAGAUAUACUUUCCUAUAGAUGUAAAAAUUAUAAUUACAUAAUAGUCAUUUCCAAAUGAAAUUAGAAAAGAAGUUUCAAAAUCGCAUAUAUUUAUUUCAAAAGGAUAAGUGAUAAAAUUUUAUUUAUUUAUUAGGAUUAUUGUAUAUAUAUGUAUAAGGUUUUGAAAAAAUUUUGACAGAGUUUCCCCUUAAAAGUGGACUAAACUCCCUGCCAGCAACCACAAGAGACAAAUUUGAAGCACAAGAAAAUAACCAACAUCAAACACAACUAAAAUCACAAGUACCACACAUAUUUCUUUCCUAUACUUAAAAUACACAUAGUCCUCAAUGUGUAGGGAAGGAAAGAAAAGAAAAGAAAAGAAAGAAAUACUUCCCAAGGCAAUGGCUGAGAUCCUUAUCAGCCAUUAAUCACGAACCAUUGUCAAAAUACAAGUACCUACCAAAUAAAAAAAUAAAAUGAAGUUAAACAACUUAAGUUCCACAAGUUAAGAUAAUCAGGCAAGCAAAUCCAGCAACAAAAGAUAGCAUAUGCAGUGUGCCAAGUCAGUCAUCUCUCUCGGUAUCAUCGUCAUCCUCUGCAUCACGAGGGCGGUGGAUGAAUGCCCAAAUGAUCUUCAAUUCGGCUUAGACGAUUCCUAAUGUCAGCAAACUGGUAUGCAAAGUCGUCCAUAUGGUCAAAAAGUCACUGCCAAUUAGUUUGUGACGGAGGAGGUGGUGGUGCUGCAGUAGAUGGCCCAGCUUCAUCGCGAUCAUGUCUAGCCUUCUGUCUCCGCUCUUGAAUAGAGCGUGGAACAUCCCCCGU
rnacentral:lncRNA from 1 species